rnacentral:rRNA from 1 species
UCAAAUCAGGUAGGAUUACCCGCUGAA